CCUACGGGAGGCUGCAGUGGGGGAUAUUGCACAAUGGGGGAAACCCUGAUGCAGCGACGCCGCGUGAGUGAAGAAGUAUUUCGGUAUGUAAAGCUCUAUCAGCAGGGAAGAAAAUGACAGUACCUGACCAAGAAGCCCCGGCUAACUACGUGCCAGCAGCCGCGGUAAUACGUAAGGGGCAAGCGUUACCCGGAUUUACUGGGUGGAAAGGGAGCGUAGACGGGUAUGUAAGUCUGGAGUGAAAGCCCGGGGGCCAACCCCGGGACUGCUUUGGAAACUGUGUAACUGGAGUACAGGAGGGGCAGGCGGAAUUCCUGGUGUAGCGGUGAAAUGCGUAGAUAUCAGGAGGAACACCGGCGGCGAAAGCGGCCUGCUGGACUGAAACUGACGUUGAGGCUCGAAAGCGUGGGGAGCAAACAGGAUUAGAUACCCGGGUAGUC
rnacentral:rRNA from 1 species